AAAAUUUAUUAAAUGAUAAAGUUGUAUCCUUGAAAGACAUGCUGGUAUUAUUGGCACAAUGGGCAAGCAUUAAAGUGCAACUUGGUGAACUACAAAACACAUCAAAUUCAGUUAUAAAAAUUUGAGUAACAAAGGUCAAUUAUUUGUCACAAAUUGGAGUUAAAGACGAAUGAAAUUGUAUAUGUUAUUUACUAAGAAUAGUUUUUUAAAAUGGCCUAGCUGUAAAAUUAAACUAUGCCGGAAGAGGACAAAAAUUGGAAUAGGAAAAAUGUUGAUUGCAUAUGUUGCUAUUGGUAAGUAGUUUAGAAAAAAUUAUUUUUUUAGUUUUAAUUUUGCAUUACAGAAUUACUUUCAAUUUGUUAUGUUUCUUUGGUGCAUAAUUAAACAAACAACAAUUUUUUUUGCAGACUCUGUGAAGUCAAAUAAGCAUGGCUUAUGCAGACAUGUGA